rnacentral:rRNA from 1 species
GACGAACGCUGGCGGCGUGCUUAACACAUGCAAGUCGAACGCUUAAGCUCAGCUUUUGUUGGGUGGAUGAGUGGCGAACGGGUGAGUAACACGUGAGUAACCUGCCUCCUUCUUUGGGAUAACGCCCGGAAACGGGUGCUAAUACUGGAUAUUCACUGGUCUUCGCGUGGGGGUUGGUGGAAAGGGGUUUUCUGGUGGGGGAUGGGCGCGCGGCCUAUCAGCUUGUUGGUGGGGUGAUGGCCUACCAAGGCUUUGACGGGUAGCCAGCCUGAGUGGGUGACCUGGCACAUUGAGACUGAGCUACGUCCCAGACUCGUACGGGGGGGAGCAGUGUGGAAUAUGGCAGAAAGGGCGCAAGAGUGAUGCAGCGUCUGUGCAUGAGGGAUGGAGACUUUAGAGUUGUGAACCUCUGUCGCACAUGCUCUAGCCUCAACAAUUGUUGUGGUGAGGUUAGUGGGUAAAGAAGCACCGGCUAACUACGUG